ensembl:lncRNA
AGAUAUCACAUGAGAGAAGGCACUUGCUCUGUACCCUUACUCCAUUAGGUAAUUAUGUGCAAGACAACUCAGACACACGGUCUUUAAAAGUCAAACUAUUACCUAUAUACAGAUUUUUAUCUACUCAUGGAAGUGGUGAGAGUAGGCUGAAUGGACUUACAACGAAUUAUUCCUCUUCAGUGAGGUAUCAGUAUGUGCAGAUGUUUCUGUGUGAAUCUUUAGAUUCAUAGGUACUUUUUUAAAAAGAAACUGGUGAAUAAAAUAGUAACAGAAAGUUCAUGUUUAUGUAAGUGGAUUGGAGCCAGAUGGUAAGAUAUCAUAAACUGAAAAGUUCAUAAGGUCAGACAGACAUAUGGUUGAAAGGCCAAAAUGUUACGUUAGGCCAGAAAGUCACUGCAAUAAGAAAUACACAGGAGUAUUUCUGCUGCUUUGCGAAAGGGAUAAGAGGGCAGUAAUUGUCCAUUACUGAGCUAAAAACACAAAUACCUUCUGCUUUCUGCCCUUACAGGUCCCAACUUAUAAUUGGCUUUAGUCAAUAGCAUUGACUUAGUGGGCAUUACUGACUAGGACAACUCCUACUUAAGAAAGGAGAUGGCAACACUUUCCUAUUUUGGCUGAAGAUUUAAAUAUCCCUGCUGACACUGUAUUAAUCUCAACUUUCCCUCUUACCAAUAAGUUUUACCAACAACAAUUUUUUAGUCAUCUGUCUAUCAAACAUCUGAUUCCUCAAGGUAGUAUCCAUAAACCACAUGUGGAAUAGUGGAAUGGCACCAUGGCAGGUGAUUCUGCAUUAAGAGUUUAGUGAUGUAGACACAGUGUUCAAUGUUUUAAAAGAAUCACAUUUAAAGAACAUCAGGGUCUAGAGAGAAUCCAUUGGUUUUUCAGAGACUCUUGCCUACCAGGUUCCUUUUCCACAUGUAACUGCAAAUACAAGAGUGCUUCUUUGUAUAGUAACUCUACCACCACAUCAAUAAUUGAGGAACAUGAAUGAGAAUAUAAAGAUUUCGUGUUUGUGACUAAGAACCUGAAAAUUCUUUAGGACAUCAACACUCCAUGGUUCUUCCAAAACAAAGAUUACUUUUUCAUCAUUGUGCUAUUUAAAGCAGAUAACUUAAAUCAAACCAAUGGUGUGUGGUGUGUGUGUAUAUAUAUAUGUGUAGAUAUAUGUUUAUAGACAUAUAUAAAGGUGUACAAUAAAACAUAAAAUAAAUAAUAGCAAUAAAAGGAAUGAUUGGAAAUCUGGAGAACAGAAUACAAUUAUUCACUGGAAAACAUACAGAAUACAAAAUAUUGCUCUAUUUUUAGCAAUAACAUUUUAACUGUUGCGGGAUCUGUCCUCACAGUGCCUUUCUUAAUGAGAGACACAAAGGAAAUGUCUGGAAAACAUUCUUUGGGCCAAUCUGUGGAAAAUAUAAGCAUAUAUUUAAGAAUGUCUCUAUAAAAAUGAUAUCAAAGUCAAAUGUUGAUAGAGACCAAUAGCAGAACUGAUCAAAACUGGUUUUGUAACUAACAGAUCUUCAUUAAAACAAACAAUAACUACAGAAAUCUAUACUGAAAGUGUUCUAGCUUGUGCUAUAAUUGUCUCUGCAAAAUGAGCCUGUGAAGAAUUAACUAACAUAUGCUAUCAAGCAAGUUACAUGUAUGUUCUGAAAAAGUGUGGGUUUUUUUAAUUCUAUUUGUCCUGUCUGAAUAUACUGACAUCCCCUACCUGAACUACAACAUAUCCAGAAUUAUCAUGUAAAUUAAACUAUAAAACAUUAUGCUAACUGUUGUAGUAGGCGCUUUGCGGGGAUACGUGCUGUACGGGAUAGGCCUCUCCCUAAGCACAGUGAAAGGGUGCUGUUGUACUCAGACAGACUGUCCUUGCUAACGAAGUAAACAAGAUAAGAAGGCAAGGGAAUGAGGAGACAAUAGGAGCCAAAUAAGGAAUUGUAGUAAGGGGCUAAGAUCCAGUACGGACAAAUCAGGACAGGGCACGAUAGCUUAAGUAAAAAUAUAUAAGCUGUGUUUGGUAGUGAUUAAACGCCAUUUUACUGC